AUUUUUGCGCAGUGGCAGUAUUGUGAGCUUGUGAGGUUGAACUGAGGCACGAUCAUUGCUAGUUGAAUUAGCUCCAUUGAAGCUGACCCUUACACUGGGAGAACAGGUAGUUUAUUUAUAGCUUGUUAGAAUAUUGCUCAGCAACUACUGAUGAGUUAACCUUUUGAAAACAUUUUGAAGUUCUAAAAUG
rnacentral:snRNA from 1 species